UACGGAGGGAGCUAGCGUUGUUCGGAAUUACUGGGCGUAAAGCGCACGUAGGCGGCUUUGUAAGUUAGAGGUGGAAAGCCCGGGGCUCAACCCCGGAAUUGCCUUUAAGACUGCAUCGCUAGAAUUGUGGAGAGGUAAGUGGAAUUCCGAGUGUAGAGGUGAAAUUCGUAGAUAUUCGGAAGAACACCAGUGGCGAAGGCGACUUACUGGACACAUAUUGACGCUGAGGUGGCGAAAGCGUGGGGAGCAAACAGG
rnacentral:rRNA from 1 species